ensembl:snRNA U6 U6 spliceosomal RNA
GUGUUCAAUUUGGCAGCAUAUAUACUAAAAAUUGGAAUAAUACAGAGAAUAUUUGAAUGACCCCUUAUAAGGAUAACAUUCAAAUUCAUGAAGCAUUCCAUAUUUCU